CCUACGGGGGGCAGCAGUGGGGAAUAUUGGACAAUGGGGGGAACCCUGAUCCAGCCAUGCCGCGUGUGUGAAGAAGGCCCUCGGGUUGUAAAGCACUUUCAGUGAGGAAGAACGCCUGGUGGUUAAUACCCAUCAGGAAAGACAUCACUCACAGAAGAAGCACCGGCUAACUCCGUGCCAGCAGCCGCGGUAAUACGGAGGGUGCGAGCGUUAAUCGGAAUUACUGGGCGUAAAGCGCGCGUAGGUGGCUUGAUAAGCCGGUUGUGAAAGCCCCGGGCUCAACCUGGGAACGGCAUCCGGAACUGUCCAGCUAGAGUGCAGGAGAGGAAGGUAGAAUUCCCGGUGUAGCGGUGAAAUGCGUAGAGAUCGGGAGGAAUACCAGUGGCGAAGGCGGCCUUCUGGACUGACACUGACACUGAGGUGCGAAAGCGUGGGUAGCAAACAGGAUUAGAUACCCUUGUAGUC
rnacentral:rRNA from 1 species